GGAGGAUCCAAGCGUUAUCCGGAUUUAUUGGGUUUAAAGGGUGCGUAGGCGGCCUGUUAAGUCAGGGGUGAAAGACGGUAGCUCAACUAUCGCAGUGCCCUUGAUACUGAUGGGCUUGAAUGGACUAGAGGUAGGCGGAAUGAGACAAGUAGCGGUGAAAUGCAUAGAUAUGUCUCAGAACACCGAUUGCGAAGGCAGCUUACUAUGGUCUUAUUGACGCUGAGGCACGAAAGCGUGGGGAUCAAACAGGAUUAGAUACCCUGGUAGUCCACGCCCUAAACGAUGAACACUCGCUGUUGGCGAUACACAGUCAGCGGCUAAGCGAAAGCGUUAAGUGUUCCACCUGGGGAGUACGGUC
rnacentral:rRNA from 1 species